rnacentral:rRNA from 1 species
AUAAGCCACCUGGGGGAUGGCUUGGCUCGGGUGCCGAAGAAGGACGUGCCCAGCGGCGAUACGCCACGGGGAGGCGUAUGGAGCCUGAGAUCCGUGGAUCUCCGAAUGGGACCUCCUGGCCGUUACGGCGGCCACUCCCUUAUGGGAGGGGGAACCCGGGGAAUUGAAACAUCUUAGUACCCGGAGGAAGAGAAACCAAUAGGGAUUCCGUGAGUACCGGCGAGGGAAAACGGAACAGGGCAAACCGAAUCCUUAUCCGAAAGGAUAGGGAGAUGUGGAGUUGUGGGACCCGACCCAACGCCUCCCAGGCGAACCCGAAGUCCCCUGGAAUGGGGCGCCGUAGAGGGUGAAAGCCCCGUAGGGGUAAGUCUGGUGGCUAUGAGGUUGGGUAUCCCGAGUACCGUGCCUUGGAUAUGGCGCGGGAAUCUGGGUGACAUCAGGCAUCCAACCCUAAAUACACCCCGAGUCCGAUAGCGAACUAGUAGGGUGACCGAAAGCUGAAAAGUACCGCGGAAGCGGGGUGAAAAGAGCCUGAAACCAGGUGGUGACAACCUGAUGGGGCGAGAAAGGGAAGAAGUCCCGUAGCUGGGAUGGACCGUCGUCCCAUCGUCCGUGUUGAAGAACGGGCCAGGGAGUUCCGUCCGUCGGCGAGGCUAAGCGCGAAGGCGCGUAACCGUAGCGAAAGCAACAUGCCCGCAGCCCCGCAAUGGGGUCAGGGGCGGGGUGCGCUCGCCCGGAGUCGGCGGAGGGAGACCCGAAGCCGGUCGAUCUAGGCCUGGGUAGGUUGAAGCCUCUCGAAAGGGAGGUGGAGGACCGAACCGGUGCUGACGUGCAAAUCGCUCGGUUGACC